rnacentral:rRNA from 1 species
GACGAACGCUGGCGGCGUGCUUAACACAUGCAAGUCGAACGGAAAGGCCCUGCUUUUGUGGGGUGCUCGAGUGGCGAACGGGUGAGUAACACGUGAGUAACCUGCCCUUGACUUUGGGAUAACUUCAGGAAACUGGGGCUAAUACCGGAUAGGAGCUCCUGCUGCAUGGUGGGGGUUGGAAAGUUUCGGCGGUUGGGGAUGGACUCGCGGAUUAUCAGCUUGUUGGUGGGGUAGUUGCUUACCAAGGCUUUGACGGGUAGCCGGCCUGAGAGGGUGACCGGCCACAUUGGGACUGAGAGACGGCACAGACGCCUACGGGAGGAAGCAGUGGGGAAUAUUGCACAAUGGGCGGAAGCCUGAUGCAGCAACGCCGCGUGCGGGAUGACGGCCUUCGGGUUGUAAACCGCUUUCGCCUGUGACGAAGCGUGAGUGACGGUAAUGGGUAAAGAAGCACCGGCUAACUACG